GAUGAACGCUGGCGGCGUGCCUUAUACAUGCAAGUCGAGCAGCGGCGGACGGGUGAGUAAUGUCUGGGAAACUGCCCGAUGUAGGGGGAUAACUACUGGAAACGGUAGCUAAUACCGCAUACCAUCGGAUGUGCCCAGAUGGGAUUAGCUAGUAGGUGGGGUAACUGCUCACCUAGGCGACGAUCCCUAGCUGGUCUGAGGGUCUGACCAGCCACACGGGAACUGAGACACGGUCCAGACCCCUACGGGAGGAAGAAGUGGGGAAUAAUGCACAAUGGGCGCAAGCCUGAUGCAGCCAUGCCGCGUGUAUGAAGAAGGCCUUCGGGUUGUAAAGUACUUUCCGCGAGGAGGCGUUAAUCGCAGAAGAAGCACCGGCUAACUCCGUGCCAGCAGCCGCGGUAAUAC
rnacentral:rRNA from 1 species